rnacentral:lncRNA from 12 species
GAAAAAUUGAAAUAUCCUCAUUCAAGACCUAGAUGAAAUACUGUGUUGCAGAAUGCCUUUGCGCUGCAAACACCUGGAGGCUCGCCUGCCGUUGCAGGGGUGCUCGGCGCCUGGCGGCCCCGGGGGGCUCUGGCUGGCCGGAGGUGUCGCGGUGUCCCGGCAGCCGCAGGCCGGGGCUCGCCGGGCUGCCUGCAGGGACAGGGGGAGCUGCCAGCUGCCUCUGGGGGCUCCAGGCGCCCUCCGCUCAGCUGCGGGGCGGACACAAACCCUUGGAGAGAUAAUGUUUC